rnacentral:lncRNA from 1 species
GAUUUUUUUUCUUUUUUCAAAAUAUUAAUUUUAUUAAUUCUAAAACAAUUUUUUUAUAAAAUAGUUUUAUUUGUCUGCGUCACAAUACGUCUUUGAGACAACAUUUUCAAUAUAACAAGUAAUUAAACAACCGGUUCCAUCAUUGAUUAUUAAAUAGUUAAUCUGGAUAAUUGAACCAACACUUUAAUAUUUUAGUAAGUUCGGAAAGCAGUAUUUAGGAACUUAGAAACAAUUGCGACAUUCGCAGAACUUUUUAUCUGCCGCACAUUUUGAGAAUCGAUAACCGUUGAAAUAUUUAGGUCCUCCGCAAACCUCUUGGCAUAAUUGAUCUCCAUUUAAUUUAUGACAUGCUCCAGGCAGCGCUUUUAUAUAAACCGGAUCACACGGUCUUCCAUCUGGUGGCAGCGGUGUCGGAGGAGUUUGUGGCUUUGCAGGAUUCUUUGGUUUUGGUUUCACUGGAAAAAAAAACUAGUAGUUUAGUAAUCGAUAAAUAGAAAGUACUGAAAUUAAAAGGUAUAUUUACAAUAAAUGCAUUUAAUUUGAUUAGAUCCUGAUAGAAACAUCCCUAGCUAUUUAAUUGUGUUGGCAUGGAUUUGUUUAAGUCAUAUUUUGUUAGCCACGCAUUUGUAAUAU